GCACUGGUGGUUUAGUAGUAGAACUCUCGCCUUCCAUAUGAGAGACUCAGGUUCAAUUUCCACCCAGUGCA
rnacentral:tRNA from 1 species